rnacentral:rRNA from 1 species
AGCGAACGCUGGCGGCAGGCCUAACACAUGCAAGUCGAACGGAUCCUUCGGGAUUAGUGGCGGACGGGUGAGUAACACGUGGGAACGUGCCCUUUGGUUCGGAACAACUCAGGGAAACUUUAGCUAAUACCGGAUGUGCUCUUCGUGGGAAAGAUUUAUCGCCAUUGGAGCGGCCCGCGUCUGAUUAGCUAGUUGGUGAGGUAAAGGCUCACCAAGGCGACGAUCAGAAGCUGGUCUGAGAGGAUGAUCAGCCACAGUGGGACUGAGACACGGCCCAAACUCCUACGGGAGGCAGCAGUGUGGAAUCUUGCGCAAUGGGCGAAAGCCUGACGCAGCCAUGCCGCGUGAAUGAUGAAGGUCUUAGGAUUGUAAAAUUCUUUCACCGGGGACGAUAAUGACGGUACCCGGAGAAGAAGCCCCGGCUAACUUCGUGCCAGCAGCCGCCGUAACAC